GGUUCCGUGGCCCAAUUGGCAAGGCGUCUGACUACGAAUCAGGAGAUUCUGGGUUCGAGCCCCAGCGGGAUCA